CCUCGAGCGCGCCGCCCGCGCCCAGCGCCCCACGCCCCGCGCCCCGGGCCGUGCAGCCAGCCCUUACCUUGCAGCGCCCGGCUGUCUCCCGAUCGCUAAAGCUACUUAUCCCGGGAAAGCUCGCGCGGGACCCGGGAACGAACCCACAGACAAAAAGUGAAACUUCGGCAGGGCUGGAGCGGCUGCUGGUUGGUGCCUUUCCCCCUCCUUCCUCCCCACCGUCCCCACCCCCUCCCCUUGGUCUCCCGUGCGGUGCCCUGAGCGCUGGAGGCUGACGUCAGGGGCCUGAAUUCCUGACUUUGCCUGCACGCAUUUGUCCAUGUAAGGUAUGGGAAGGCGUGUGCCCGCGAAGCCGCCGCGCAGAGCUCGCCUGGCGGGGGAGGGGAAACCCGCAGCCGGCAGUGGCUUUGCCAAAAGGUGGGCGCACUGAGGGCAUUGCAUUUCCUGGGAGGAAGAGGAGGAGACGCGGGAAUGCAGGGAGCUUGCAAAGGAGGAAGAGAAAGAGGGAGAUGUGGAGACUUUGCCCCUGCUAGAGGAAGAGGAAGGAGACGUAGGAGGAAGCGGCCGCGUCAGGGGGCUCCUGGAAAAUGGAAAAGCCUGCGUCUACUAUUAAGGCGUCAAAUUAGGGCACUGAGCUUGAGUGGAAGAGAUCCAGCCAUGAAAUCCCCUUCCAAGAUUUUCCUCGUGAGCCCCGCCCUGGAUUCCCAGCAAGACUCAAAACUUACAAGGUGUCAGAGCUGGCAAAGACCAACUUCCAACCCGUCCGCUUGGCACGUGAGGAAACUGAAGCUCUCGGAAGAGAAAUGACUUGUACAGGGUCGUCACUCAGCAGAUCGAGGAGCGGGCCCAGGCGCUCUGCCUCCCACUUGGGUUCCCGCCUCCAGGAAGGGCCCUGGCUCCCUUUUAGCCCUGAGCCUUGAAGCAGGUUAGAUGCCCGCGAGCUGUGCGGACCACCCAGUGAUUUCUACUGCUCUUGGCCCAGAGCCAGUUCCUGGAAGGUCCUGGUUGACAGCGAGCCCUGAAUAUCAAUGACAAUCAGUUGCUUCAGGGCAACUUCCUCUGUCCUGUGCUCAAAUAAAUGAAUCCCUGGAGUUUAACGUUUACUUCUGAGCCCCGCCCAGAAAGCUUGCUCUGUGCUUAUAGCUUCAAAAAAGUCUGCGAACGAGAUGAACUGGUUUGAAUACAGACAAGCCUGUCAUUGGAAGUUUUGAGUUGGAUUUUUCUUUCCCCUCUGACAUCUGUAAGGGUGAACGACGAUGAGAACCACCACUUAACUGUGUUAGGGGAUUAUGACGCGCAGCAGCCAUGGCCAGGAAAGCAUUCCAUACCCUGAGACUUCCUUUCCUUGCACUUCUCUCCUAUUAAUAUCUAAAGUAAUCCCUCACGUUAGCACAUAAUGAAAGCAGUCUCUCACCCGGCUAUUGCAUCUUCAGGUGAGUUAGAUAGGACAGAGCGUAGUCCCCCCUUUACACCUCAGACAAAAACUUAAGAAACGUUACUCGCCCAACACAAAACAACUGACUGACCAAGCACCUGUCUUCCCCUCCUCCCAUCCAGGUCUCCUGACUAAUCCCUUCAUCUUUCCAUACCUGGCCCUGACCUCUAGCAGGACCUAAUUCCAUUCAUAACUGUUGAGAGUACACCAUGAGCUACUGAUUCAUAAAAACUCCAAAAAGUGGUUCUUCUGAGGAUGGACUUUAGUGGGAUUCUUUUGACCAGGAAUUAAGGAAAUAAUGUAAAAACACAUGUUAUUGGAUUUAUUAAGCACCUUCCUUGUGCUUAAUAAGUGUUUGAAUUCAGACAUUUCAGGGGUAAGACUACUUAACCUCUGUGUUCCUCUCAACUAUCUAAUGUACACAUACAAAAAUAUGAACAUGGCUGGGCGCGGUGGCUUACACCUGUAAUUCCAGCACUUUGGGACGCCGAGGCGGGCAAAUCACCUGAGGUCAGGAGCUCGAGCCAGCCUGGCCAACAUGGCAAAACCCCAUCUCUACCAAAAAUACAAAAAACUAGCUGGGCGUGGCGGCGAGCGCCUGUAAUCCCAGGUAUUCCGGAAGCUGAGGCAGGAGAAUUGCCUGAACCCGGGAGGCAAAGGUUUUAGUGAGCCGAGAUUGCGCCACUGCACUCCAGCCUGGGGGACAGAGCAAGACUGUUGUCAAAAAAAAAAAAUAUAUAUAUAUACAAACACAUAUAUAUACACAUAUAUAUACAUAUAUACACAUAUAUAUACAUAUAUAUACACAUAUAUAUACAUAUAUAUAUACACACACACAUAUAUAUAUACACACAUACAUAUAUAUAUAUGAAGGCAGUAACAGAGAGAUAAGGUCGAGAAUAACCACCCAUUCCACAGACUAAUAAAGAAUUUAUCUCUUUGCAACUAACAUAGUUUGAAAUGGGAGAUACGGGCUCUUGGAGAGAGUUUUUUCUGGGGUUCUGAAAAGGUCAGAUCCUAUCAAAACACAAUCCACUCACUCAAACAUUUCAGCGUACUCACAUUCUGAGUACUACUGUUUAGUAUGAAAAGAAUUCCAGUGUUACAUGAAGUAAAAAUGGAUUAUCUCAAUCCUCAUGGAAUAUAACGGGACUUGACCAGCAUUUCCUUUUUUUUUUUCCUUCAGUAACUCACUUAUAAGGAAUAAUAGGGUCCUAAUGAGGAUUAAGAUUUAAUAAGGUGUAAUUAGAGUUGUUCAUUUCUUCCAUCAUAUACAUUAUAAGAGUACUGUGCCGGAUCCAGAAAUGCUACUAAUUAUGUUGAAACUGUUGUAUGGGUGUGUUGGGGAAGUCACUGUGUUUCUCCUCCUGAAAUGUUUAUGAAUUGCUCAGGUGAGCAUGGUGAGCAUGGUGUUAGCAUGAACAUCAUAUAAAGUUAACUACAAAAGAU
rnacentral:lncRNA from 1 species